AGUGAACGCUGGCGGCGUGCCUAACACAUGCAAGUCGGACGAGAUACUAGGAAGAGCUUGCUCUUCCAUAGGUCUAGUGGCAAACGGGUGAGUAAUACGUAGGCAACCAUCCUCUUAGAGAGGGAUAGCCCAUCGAAAGGUGGGAUAAUACCUCGUACGAUCAACGAAUGGCAUCAUUUGUUGAUGAAACAUCUGCAAAGAUGGCUGAGAGACGGGCCUACGGCCUAUCAGCUCGUUGGUAAGGUAAUGGCUUACCAAGGCUAUGACGGGUAACCGACCUGAAAGGGUGAUCGGUCACACUGACACUGAGACACGGGUCAG
rnacentral:rRNA from 1 species